rnacentral:rRNA from 1 species
UUCCCUAGGUGAACCUGCGGAAGGAUCAAUUACACGAUUGAACUUCAAAAACUUGCAACUUAACGUGGGACCUCACGGUCCUCUUCGUGUCUAACCUUUUUUUUCAAUCUCGAAUUCAGAUUGUUUUAAAAAGUUUCUCACAACUUUUGGCGAUGGAUGUCUCGGCUCGAACAACGAUGAAGGACGCCGCUAAAUGCGAUAAGCGUUGUGAAUGGCAGAAUUCCGCGAAUCAAGAGAAAGCUGAACGCAUACUGCGCUCUUAGGACCUCCCUAAGAGCAUGCUUGGUUCAGAACGUUUACACAUUCAUGCUAAGAAAUAGAAUUCGCAUUGCGCGAGUGAUAUUCCUAGCGUUCUCGUGUGUCAGUGACGCGUUUGUCUCUCGGGACAAGCUACCCAGUGACGCAUCAGAUUCAACGACAAGCGCAACGGAUACGUACGUCUCUGUCCGGCGAUAGUCUUCGGAUUUUCUAUGGCAGGGAAUGCGUGAAACGUUUGUGUGCUGAGUUGUCGUGUCAAAGCGCAUUUAAUCUUUGCGUAUGAACUCAAGUAGGGCUACCCGCUGAAUUUAAGCAUAUC